CAGCAGCCGCGGUAAAACGAAGGGGGCUAGCGUUGCUCGGAAUUACUGGGCGUAGAGGGAGCGUAGGCGGACAUUUAAGACAGGGGUGAAAUCCCAGAGCUCAACUCUGGAACUGCCUUUGAUACUGGGUGUCUUGAGUGUGAUAGAGGUAUGUGGAACUCCGAGUGUAGAGGUGAAAUUCGUAGAUAUUCGGAAGAACACCAGUGGCGAAGGCGACAUACUGGAUCAUUACUGACGCUGAGGCUCGAAAGCGUGGGGAGCAAACAGGAUUAGAUACCCCGGUAGUCCCUGUCUCUUAUAC
rnacentral:rRNA from 1 species